rnacentral:rRNA from 1 species
AGCGAACGCUGGCGGCAGGCUUAACACAUGCAAGUCGAACGGGCAUCUUCGGAUGUCAGUGGCAGACGGGUGAGUAACACGUGGGAACGUACCCUUCGGUUCGGAAUAACUCAGGGAAACUUGAGCUAAUACCGGAUACGCCCUUUUGGGGAAAGGUUUACUGCCGAAGGAUCGGCCCGCGUCUGAUUAGCUUGUUGGUGGGGUAACGGCCUACCAAGGCGACGAUCAGUAGCUGGUCUGAGAGGAUGAUCAGCCACACUGGGUCUGAGACACGGCCCAGACUCCUACGGGAGGCAGCAGUGGGGAAUAUUGGACAAUGGGCGCAAGCCUGAUCCAGCCAUGCCGCGUGAGUGAUGAAGGCCUUAGGGUUGUAAAGCUCUUUUGUCCGGGACGAUAAUGACGGUACCGGAAGAAUAAGCCCCGGCUAACUUCGUG